rnacentral:tRNA from 1 species
CAGGCGGCAGGCCCGGUAGCCGCGGGGGAAGCGCAGGCCCGUCCGCUGCCAUGGGGGGAGGCGACCUGGUGAGGAAGGCCGGGGUCCGGGGGAGCCGAGCGGGCCGAGAGUCGUCCUCGGGGCUCCCAGGACCAGCCCGGGCGGGGACGGGUCCGGUAGACGCGGGUUGACCGGGCGCUGCGGCCGUGUCCGUGUUCUCCGGUGGCUGCGGGGCCGCCGGUGCGAGCGGGUCGCGGUGGGGUGGGAACGAGCGUGUCCCGUUCCGCAGGGCCUCAGUGCCGGAGUGGGAGGGCUGCGGGCGAGCGCGGCUGUGAGCGCGCCCUUCCCCGUGGCCACCGGCGGGGGGAGGCGGCCCGUUGUUAACGGUCCCGGUUCGGUUCCCCCGCCCCGUCCUGCAGAGCCCAAGGAGGAGCUGGCAUCCCCGGCCCGGCGCAGCGCGGAGGAGGCGCGGAAACCCGGGGAGAAGCGUGAGGCCGAGCGGCAGAUGACGAUGGAGGAGGCGCGGCGGGAGCUGAGGAGCCGGCCCUUCCUCGGAGCAGGAGAGUGGUCGUGGCUUCUCCCCAGCAGACCUGGAACCCACGAAGGGGACAAGGGGUGUCCUGGCUGUCACUGCAGCGCGCUGGUGAGGAAGGAGCUGUUCCUCAGACCUGGGGCGAGAAGCAGAGACCUGCUAAUGAGUAAGGAACCACCACUCAAAUAAAGGUGUUCGCCCUUGAUCUAUUUUAACUGCUCUUAAUGGGGUUCUGAUCUGUGAAGAUGUUCUGAAGCAGAGCACGGCACCCCAGCUGGAUGAAAUGCUUUGGGUGCUUCUCUGUCAGUGUCCCCUGCCUUUGGGGUGUCAGUCGGGGAGGACAGAGAGGCUGUGGGCAGGGUGGGAGGUGUAGGGCAGGUGAUUUCCCUGGGAGGUUGGUGUGCUGCCUAAUGGCAGGGCACACCCCGGAUCAAACAGCGUUUUGAAGUGUUCUUUGCUGUCCACAGUGGGAUGUUUUAGAGAAAGACAACUGGGAAUGGAUGAGCUUGGGUGCAGGAGCCAGCCUGGAAGGGUGUUUGGAGAGGUGAGGUGGUGUUUUGGGUGGGAGGAGGGUGCAGAGGCAGGGCUGCAGGUGCAGUGAGCGCAGGCAGUGGAAUGCAGCAGAGCCGGCUGGAGGGCGCCCAGGAGGAGCCGGGCUGGGCAGCCCUGCCCAGGUGGGGGUAUAGCUCAGGGGCAGAGCAUUUGACUGCAGAUCAAGAGGUCCCCGGUUCAAAUCCGGGUGCCCCCUCCCCUUUUCCUUCUUUUUGUCCAGAAAAAGUGGGUUUGGAGCCCUUGAUGUCAAUGCUUUUCCCCUAACCUCUCUGGUGGCUCUGUCCUC